GACAGAGGUGCCAAGCGUUAGGCGGAAUCACUGGGCUUAAAGCGUGUGUAGGUGGAUUUGUAAGUACCUUGUGAAAUCCCAUGGCUCAACCAUGGAACUGCUCGGUAUACUGCGAAUCUUGAGCCACUUAGGGGCUACCGGAACAAAUGGUGGAGCGGUGAAAUGCGUAGAUAUCAUUUGGAACGCCAAUGGUGAAAACAGCUCGCUGGGGGUGUACUGACACUGAGACACGAAAGCCAGGGGAGCGAACGGG
rnacentral:rRNA from 1 species